GGCUUUCAGGCUGGGAGAGGCUGCGGGGUGGUGGCGAGGGGGGCAGGUAGUCAGGUGUGGCCCCUCCUGGGCUUCCCAGGCCCGGGAAUGUCUGCAUUCCCUGGGAAGUCAUGAGUGCAGAGGAUUUCCCCAGGAAUCUGGGCUGGGCUUGUAAAGAUAUGAUCCCAACAUCAAGAAAAGAAACCAGCCAGUAAAUUCCUGGUUAGUUCAUUUUCUAAGACUUCUGAAUGUGUUUUGAAUUUUCUCUAAAUUAAGAUAAUCAUAAAAGGUUAAGAUAUUUAAACAGAGCCCCACCUGAUCCCAGGGCUUGAUUUGUAUGCUUAAUUAGUUCCCGAACAUAUGGUUCAGAGCUUCUUAUAAAAACAGGGUAAUGACUCGAGGUAUAUUUGGGUAUUAGAUUGAACGAUGUUAAAGGGACAUUCAGACCCAUCUCAAAGGCCUUAACCUGCCCUUGAUCUGUGCUGGAAGCUUUUGUUGACAUCUGUUUCAAAGAGAUAUCUAAAAAACUUUCCAGUGGCCUCAUGAUAAAACAAAAAUCCAUACGGAGAUAGGUAUCAGGCAUUAAAAUACUUAGGAUUCAGCAUGGCCUGAGGAAUGUGCGGCCCCAGAAUAUAACAGUGGGGUGGGGGGAGCGUCGAGGAGGGGCUCAUGCAAAGAGGCGACAGGGCCUCUGGGAACUAUUGACAGUGCAGUGCCUGGGCUCAGUAUGGAGACAGAGCAGCUGAGUCACAAAUGUCCCCAGGGCCCUUUGUUCUUUCCUGGGUUUCACUCCCUGAUAAUAAAUCAGGUGCUCCUGUGUAUGGCGCAUAAUUCAGGUCACCCCCAGCUCCCAGGCAGUCCGGCUGUUCCCCACUCCCUCCCAGAAAGAUACUUUUAGAGACACCCCAUCCCUCAGGCGUAGAAGCGAGGUGUGGCACGGACUCAUCCCCAGCCCCUGGUCUAGUUGUAUGGCCAGGCCCGCCCUUCACCCGCAUGGUCAAUAAGGGGAGAUCUCUCUGUAUAUUUGCUCUGCAUGACACGGCUUCCAGAGAUCGGAAGAGGUUGGUCCCUGGAGCCCCAGCAGUUCUCAAAGCAUCUGGAAUGAGCAGACACUUGCUUGCAGCUGCUGGGGCUGGGGCUGGGCCCGGAGGGGCAGGCUUGCUGAGGCAUGCAGGGAUGUAAAGUUAGAGGAAGUGUAGCCAGCAAUUUGGAAAAUUUAGGAGUUCCUGGGCUGUCAUUGCGUUUUUCUGGUUGUCAUUGACUUGCGUCUGUAUUCUCCCCCAGAGUAGGUAAGAGGUGGGGAGGGUGGAGGGAGGGCAUUCCUGUGUGCCAGGCCCGCACAUCUGAGCAGAUGAAGAAAGAGCAGAGGAGGGGGGCAGGG
rnacentral:lncRNA from 12 species